rnacentral:rRNA from 1 species
CAGUCGCCGCGGUAAUACGUAGGUGGCAAGCGUUGUCCGGAAUUAUUGGGCGUAAAGGGCUCGCAGGCGGUUUCUUAAGUCUGAUGUGAAAGCCCCCGGCUCAACCGGGGAGGGUCAUUGGAAACUGGGAAACUUGAGUGCAGAAGAGGAGAGUGGAAUUCCACGUGUAGCAGUGAAAUGCGUAGAGAUGUGGAGGAACACCAGUGGCGAAGGCGACUCUCUGGUCUGUAACUGACGCUGAGGAGCGAAAGCGUGGGGAGCGAACAGGAUUAGAUACCCCGGUAGUCCCUGUCUCUUAUAC